rnacentral:ncRNA from 1 species
AAAGAAGCAAUAGCGAAAUCGUGGCCCAAUGAGUAGAAACUUAAGAUUGAAGGCCCAUUAUGUGGAUAAGUUAACAGAACAUAACAAAGUCCGAAAGACAAACGUAAACCUAAUCGGUAAAUUAAGUUGGUAAACGAGGAAAGAUAU